UUUGAUCAUGGCUCAGGAUGAACGCUAGCGGCAGGCCUAAUACAUGCAAGUCGAACGGUGUCUUCGGACAUAGUGGCGCACGGGUGCGUAACACGUAUGCAACCUACCUUACAUUGGGGGAUAGCCUUUCGAAAGGGAGAUUAAUACCGCAUAAGACAGUAACUAGGCAUCUAGUAGCUGUUAAAGAUUUAUCGAUGUAAGCUGGGCAUGCGACCAAUUAGCUUGUUGGUGAGGUAAUGGCUCACCAAGGCUAUGAUUGGUAGGGGAACUGAGAGGUCAAUCCCCCACACUGGCACUGAGAUACGGGCCAGACUCCUACGGGAGGCAGCAGUAGGGAAUAUUGGGCAAUGGACGCAAGUCUGACCCAGCCAUGCCGCGUGCAGGAUGAAGGCGUUAUGCGUUGUAAACUGCUUUUAUACAGGAAGAAACGACUCUUGCGAGAGGCAUUGACGGUACUGUAUGAAUAAGCACCGGCUAACUCCGUGCCAGCAGCCGCGGUAAUACGGAGGGUGCAAGCGUUGUCCGGAUUUAUUGGGUUUAAAGGGUGCGCAGGUGGUUUAUUAAGUCCAGUGGUGAAAGACGGUCGCUCAACGAUUGCAGUGCCAUUGAAACUGGUAGACUUGAGUAAAGUAGAGGUGGGCGGAAUUGAUAGUGUAGCGGUGAAAUGCAUAGAUAUUUAUCAAGAACUCCAAUUGCGUAGGCAGCUCACUUGGCUUUUUACUGACACUCAUGCACGAAAGUGUGGGUAUCAAACAGGAUUAGAUACCCUGGUAGUCCACACUGUAAACGAUGAUAACUAGGUGUCGGCCGAAUCUGGUCGGUGCCACAGCGAAAGCGUUAAGUUAUCCCACCCUGGGGAGUACGCCCGGCACGGUGAAACUCAAGGAAUUGACGGGGGUCCGCACAAGCGGU
rnacentral:rRNA from 1 species